UCUAGUUUUGUUCGAACUUCGAAGACUCAUCCGGCUCUCACUCUUUCUCGAUUCUGCUCCCCAUCCUCGCAGUUUCCCCGGCACAUCGACCUUCGUCUUCCACUUCGGUCGGCGUUUGUUGGAGCCUUGUUCGGAGGCUCAUCUUCCAUUCUUUGGCGUCUUCUUCUCUUCUCAGCUUAUCCCGUCUCUGCAGCUUCGAUAAUAGAAGCCAAGUGCACCCAAAGGAUUGGGAUUUGGUCCCUUUAAUAUUCCGCCAGCUUCAUGAAGCUCAGAAAUUGACAAUUUAAGGUUAUUAUUAUGUCUUCUCAAAAUGGGUAUGAGAGCCCCCACCAUCAGCAGCAACAACAGCCGCUACAGCUGCAACCUACUGGUGGAGAGCACCAUUUUGGUGUGAACUCUGAAACCAUUGCUGAGGUGGGAUGGUAUGUUCUUGGAGAAAAUCAGCAGCAGGUGGGCCCAUAUGCUAUCUCAGAGCUGUGCGAGCAUUUCUUAAAUGGAUACCUUUCGGAAAACACACUUGUAUGGUCAGAAGGAAGAACUGAAUGGCAGCCAUUGUCCUCAGUUCCUGAGUUGUGGACAAGAAUUUACUCACAGGGAUCUGAUUAUUCAGCUGCAGAGUUUGAGAGAUGGCAGAAUGAGAUAAAGGAAGCAGAAGCACAAUUUGAAGGGUCUGAAUUUGGAUCUGUUUCUGGCGAUGUUGGGGCUGAAAUUGGAGGUGAUUCUGAUAGACCUUCCACCCCACCUGAGGGUGAAGAAGAAUUUACUGAUGACGAUGGGACUAAAUAUAAGUGGAAUAAGAAUCUUAGGGUUUGGAUUCCCCAGGAGUACCCAUCUGGCAGCAAUGAUCCUUAUGGAGUUGAAGAGAUGACUUUCUUGGAGGAAGAGGAAGUUUUCCCCUCGUUAACUGGUUCUGAUGCUUCUUUAAAGGAUGAAGGUUCAAAACUAAGUAGUUCUAUGGCUUCAACAAAGGAAGAAGAAAGUGUUACCGAUAUGGGAGCUGAAGGAAAGAACGAUGGAAAGAGGAAGCUUUCAGAUAAGCAAGACGAAAAGAAGGAAGCUAAUAAACCGCCUGAUAGUUGGUUUGAGUUAAAAGUCAAUACACAUGUUUAUGUCACUGGGUUGCCGGAGGAUGUUACCACUGAAGAAGUGGUGGAGGUGUUUUCCAAGUGUGGCAUUAUAAAGGAGGACCCUGAAACCAAAAGGCCUCGAAUCAAGCUUUAUGUUGAUAAAGAGACUGGAAGAAAAAAGGGAGAUGCAUUGGUCACAUAUCUGAAGGAACCCUCAGUUGCUUUGGCAAUUCAAAUAUUGGAUGGAACUCCUCUUCGCCCUGGUAGCAAGAUUCCCAUGUCUGUCACCCAUGCUAAAUUUGAGCAAAAAGGAGAAACAUUCAUAGCGAAGCAAGUAGAUAAUAAAAAGAAGAGGAAAUUGAAAAGAGUGGAAGAGAAGAUGCUUGGCUGGGGUGGUCGUGAUGAUGCAAAAGUUUCAAUUCCAGCCACCAUCAUCCUUCGUUAUAUGUUCACACCCACGGAAUUAAGGGCUGAUGAAAAUUUACGUUCAGAGCUAGAAGAAGAUGUUAAAGGGGAAUGUGUGAAGCUUGGCCCUGUGGACUCAGUGAAGAUUUGUGAGAAUCAUCCUCAGGGUGUUGUUUUAGUGAAAUUCAAGGAUAGGAAGGAUGCUCAGAAGUGCAUAGAAUUGAUGAAUGGGAGAUGGUUUGGCGGAAGACAGAUACAUGCCAGUGAGGAUGAUGGUUCAGUUGAUCAUACCGCUGUCCGGGAUUACGAUGAAGAUGCCAUGCGACUGGAGCAGUUUGGCGCAGAACUUGAAGCUGACUGAGUUUAAUUCGCUUGAUCUGAUUUUACCUUAGUAACUCCUUAUUCGAGCGAGACUUCCGGAGAUCUUGACUUUUCACUCUGGUUCAUGCCACAUUUACACUCAUUUGCACACUGACAAAUGUGUGCUAUAUUGCUAGCAGGAUUUUAUUUUUGCUGUUCUCAAAGAAGGGUGUCAUUGAUGCGUGCUGAUAAACUGGACAAAAGCUAUUUGAUGGAGUCCGAAUCUUGUUUGUGUUCCUGGCAUUUGUUAUGGGAUGAUUGAGGAGGAUAACUGAUUAAUCGAUUUUUUUUCAGAGACACGUGUAGUACUUUACGUAUUAGUGACUGGCCUUUCUAUUUCUUUUUUAAAAAAAAAAAGUGUGGAGAUAAUAUAUAUUUUUUUGUUUUGGAUAACGAGGAUAUUUGCAGGAAAAAGAGAAAACUUCAGACUAAAGUUUCAACAAAUAGCAGAAAGCUAGAGUUCAACUGUGUUGCAUCCAAUGAUGUGUGUUAUUUUGAACAUUUUCAAUAGAGAAGUCUUCUGUGAUGGAAUUUUUGUGGCGAGUUUAGUUUGUAUCCUCCAUUGCAAGUGAGGAUGAGAGAUCUUAAGUAAGAAGAAUCUCCCAAAUGUUCCACCAUGAUAUUCUUAAUCCAAUAGCAUUGUAUGCAAGGAUUCACGAAUUA